rnacentral:piRNA from 1 species
GUGGUGCUCUUUUAUCAACAGUUUCUGAUUC